UCCCUGGUGGCUCAGAUGGUAAAGAACCUGCCUGCAAUGCAGGAAACCUGGGUUCGAUCCCUGGGUGGGGAA
rnacentral:tRNA from 1 species